rnacentral:misc_RNA from 1 species
UUUCCGUAGGUGAACCUGCGGAAGGAUCAUUAUUGUAUAACCGAGGUGCGAGGGCUGUCGCUGACCCGAAAGGUCGUGCACGCCCGAGUGCCCUCACACACAUCCAUCUCACCCCUAUGUGCACCACCGCGUGGGUCACCCUUUGGCUUGUUCGGAGGGGGGCUUACGUUUUCACACAAACUUUGUAUGCAGUGUAGAAUGUAUUUUUAGUUUUUGCGAUCACGCAAUCAAUACAACUUUCAACAACGGAUCUCUUGGCUCUC